AAGGCCGGGGCAGAAGAGGAAAAACAAGCUGGAUGUGGCAUGGUAAAGCCUGUGCAAUUGGUGUAGGACCCUUGCUCUCAGAUCCUGCUACUGAUACGAGGAAUGUAGCAGCGAGAGACACAAAAGCGAACCCUCUUCCUGUGGGAUUCCAGCCUAGGAGGGAAGACGGCGAACAAGAAGCGACAAGUGUGUUGCAUGCUACCGAGAGGUGUCCAGCAACUACUCUUUCAACUGCAUCCUGGCCUGGCUCCCUCCUGUCUUCCUAGCUCCUCAGUCAGUGUCUUCCUUCCUGGCCCUGGGCUUCCCCAGGUCCUCAUGCUGUCCCUGUACCACCCUCAGAGCCUUCCCAGUAAA
rnacentral:lncRNA from 1 species